rnacentral:lncRNA from 1 species
AGAACAGAUAUGUAUUUCAACUUAAAAGGAAAGCUACCUGUGACCUCAACUCUACAACCUCACACAGGAACUACCCAGCCACUAAAAAGGCUACUGUGAGACCUAUCAACCAAAAAGGAGUUGUUUGAAAAGGAUUCCAUUUCAUAAGCCUGAUUUUCUUUUGUUCCUCUGUGUGUGUGUGUUUGUUGUGUGUUUGAAACAUGGUCUCAACAGGUAGUUUUGGCUGUCCUAGAACUCACUUUUGUAGACCAGGGUGGCCUUGAACUCACAGUGACCUUCCUGGUUCUGCUUUUCAAGUGGUAAGAGUCAAUUCAAGUACCACCAUCCCUGCACAUCAUAAAGCUGACUCUCAAGGCAAGCAUGCAAGGAUAAGAGGAAACCCUUAGUGAAGGCAGGCUUCCUGGAGACCUGAGGCUCCAUCACGGUUUGAUGGCUAACUGCAAGAUCAGAUUUUGAGAAUUACCUUUUAAACAUAAUUAUCACUAAAAUUCCCUGUGAUGACACACAUUGCAUGACUCUAAAUUCUGUGUUAAUUAAUUCUCUUCUUGUAGCUUGUCAAGCUACAUAGGCCUUAGGUCAAUGUUCUGUAACUGACAGUAAAGAAGUCUAUUAGAAUGUGCUAGAGGAAUUCUACUUCUAUCUGCUACAAGAAAAGCCUUCCUAAAAUUUAUACCCAACAGGAGUAAAAGAAUGAUUUCAUGCUCUUUAUUUUACAUCUAACUUUCAUAUGUUGUAUUUGUUUAUAACAAAUAAAGUGUGUGUAUCAAUUCCUACUAAGACUCUACCUCCUGAAAAAAGAAUUGGAAAACAUUCAUAUAUACUGUUACAGAGUAUGUCCUGAAAAUCCAUAUUCCUGGGAAUAUUUAGUAAAAUUAUUCUUAUAAAUGAUGACUGUAAAUGAUUGCUACAUACCUUGGACUUGAGGGAACCUCCCCAAUUUUCAUCCGCAGACUUCAAGGAUGGCUCCUGCAUACAGCUGUAAAAUGGAAACCAGGAAGGUUACAAAUUGGAAAGUCGUCAUGGAGCUGGAAGAUAAGGCUCAGGGAAGACAACCCUUGUCAAGCUUGUGUUUCUCUGGGUUUCACCUCAGGCAGGACUGUGAAGAAGCACACAGUGCAAACCUUGGAGUAAAGCAGCAAAGCAGCUGUAUAGAACUCCUUACC